GUUAGGAAUCGCCAUUUUUUGAGGAAUAUUUGUUAUUCGUUAGCUGAUUGAUUCUCAGAAUGGACUUUCGUAAUAGCUUUUCGCCUCGUUCUGGGAGAUUGAAAGAUCUUAAGGAUUCCUUUCGUCAUCUCGUGUCUAGGAGUCAUGAUGCAGCCACGGUGGAUGGUGUAAAAUCUGAGAGUGUAUUGAAGGACUUCUAUAUUCCAGAUUACAUUCUUGUGGCUGGAUCAGAGCCAGAGAUAUACAAUGAGGAAUUUCAUUCGCCUUCGUGCCCUGUCAUUGUGUUUAUCAACUCAAAAAGUGGAGGCCAGCUCGGAGGGGAACUUCUUGUUACGUAUCGCUCCCUUCUUAACCAAAACCAGGUUAUUGAUUUGGGAGAAAAGGCUCCUGAUAAGGUCCUCCAUCAAAUUUAUGCCACUCUGCAAACUCUCAAGAACAGCGGUGAUGAAUUGGCUACUGAAAUUGAGAAGCGACUAAGAAUUAUCGUUGCAGGUGGAGAUGGUACAGCUGGUUGGCUCCUCAGUGUAGUUUGCGAUCUCAAACUACCUCAACCUCCACCAAUUGCUACAGUGCCUUUGGGAACCGGAAAUAACCUCCCAUUUUCAUUUGGUUGGGGAAAGAAAAACCCAGGCACAGACAGUUUAUCUGUGGAGUCAUUCUUGGAACAAGUAAGGGCUGCCAAGGAAAUGAAAAUUGACAGCUGGCAUAUUAUCAUGAGAAUGAA
rnacentral:misc_RNA from 1 species